CCCAGAGCCUGAAUCAGUAUGUGUGUUAGUGGAAGCGUCUGGAAAGGCGCGCGAUACAGGGUGACAGCCCCGUACACAAAAAUGCACAUAUUGUGAGCUCGAUGAGUAGGGCGGGACACGUGGUAUCCUGUCUGAAUAUGGGGGGACCAUCCUCCAAGGCUAAAUACUCCUGACUGACCGAUAGUGAACCAGUACCGUGAGGGAAAGGCGAAAAGAACCCCGGCGAGGGGAGUGAAAAAGAACCUGAAACCGUGUACGUACAAGCAGUGGGAGCACGCUUAGGCGUGUGACUGCGUACCUUUUGUAUAAUGGGUCAGCGACUUAUAUUCUGUAGCAAGGUUAACCGAAUAGGGGAGCCGAAGGGAAACCGAGUCUUAACUGGGCGUUAAGUUGCAGGGUAUAGACCCGAAACCCGGUGAUCUAGCCAUGGGCAGGUUGAAGGUUGGGUAACACUAACUGGAGGACCGAACCGACUAAUGUUGAAAAAUUAGCGGAUGACUUGUGGCUGGGGGUGAAAGGCCAAUCAAACCGGGAGAUAGCUGGUUCUCCCCGAAAGCUAUUUAGGUAGCGCCUCGUGAAUUCAUCUCCGGGGGUAGAGCACUGUUUCGGCAAGGGGGUCAUCCCGACUUACCAACCCGAUGCAAACUGCGAAUACCGGAGAAUGUUAUCACGGGAGACACACGGCGGGUGCUAACGUCCGUCGUGAAGAGGGAAACAACCCAGACCGCCAGCUAAGGUCCCAAAGUCAUGGUUAAGUGGGAAACGAUGUGGGAAGGCCCAGACAGCCAGGAUGUUGGCUUAGAAGCAGCCAUCAUUUAAAGAAAGCGUAAUAGCUCACUGGUCGAGUCGGCCUGCGCGGAAGAUGUAACGGGGCUAAACCAUGCAC
rnacentral:rRNA from 1 species